AGAGAUCGGAAGCCCAAAGAGGAGCACAGAGGGAAAACUCUGCACGAACGGAUCGUCAGAUUAGAAGAAUGAUUUCAAAUCCCAUUGAAAUCAACGUCGCAGCAUAAAACAGCACCUUUGAAAUAUGUGACAGUCGACAAUGGAGUCUCAUCGGGACGCGCUCAUUCUUCGCAGCCGCUUUGAUCAGUUGCAACAAAAUAAUUAACAUAACGUUACAUCUGUCUCCGGAUUGAAUUCAUUUACAAUGGAAAAGAGUUGGAGAAAUUUAACUUUUUGCAGGUGCUGAAUUCUAUACAGAUGAUUACAGUGCUGUUCCCCUCCCCCAUCACUAACGAAAACAAAAGACCCCGAUUCCUUCUGUUCUGGCUGAUUGUAACGCAAAU